rnacentral:rRNA from 1 species
UUGGAGGGCAAGUCUGGUGCCAGCAGCCGCGGUAAUUCCAGCUCCAAUAGCGUAUAUUAAAGUUGUUGCAGUUAAAAAGCUCGUAGUUGAAUUUCGGGAUCAGAUUGUCGGUCGUGCCUCGGUACGCACUGGCAUUAUUGGUUCCUACCUUCUGAAGAACCGCGAUGUCAUUAAUUUGGUGUCGUGGGGAAUCAGGACUGUUACUUUGAAAAAAUUAGAGUGUUUAAAGCAGGCGCACGCUUGAAUACAUUAGCAUGGAAUAAUGAAAUAGGACGUUUGAUUCUAUUUUGUUGGUUUCUAGGAUCGACGUAAUGAUUAAUAGGGAUAGUUGGGGGCAUUAGUAUUCAAUUGUCAGAGGUGAAAUUCUUGGAUUUAUUGAAGACUAACUACUGCGAGAGCAUUUGCCAAGGAUGUUUUCAUUAAUCAAGAACGAAAGUUAGGGGAUCGAAGACGAUCAGAUACCGUCGUAGUCUUAACCAUAAACUAUGCCGACUAGGGAUCGGAUGAUGUUAAUUUUUUAAUGACUCAUUCGGCGCCUUACGGGAAAC